UACCAGCACCCCGAGUGGUCGGGACGUUUUAUUGGGCCUAAAGCAUCCGUAGCCGGUUCUACAAGUCUUCCGUUAAAUCCACCUGCUUAACAGAUGGGCUGCGGAAGAUACUAUAGGGCUAGGAGGCGGGAGAGGCAAGCGGUACUCGGAUGGGUAGGGGUAAAAUCCGUUGGAUCCAUUGGAAGAACCACCAGUUGGCGA
rnacentral:rRNA from 1 species